rnacentral:tRNA from 2 species
CCCAGAUAGCUCAGUUGGUAGAGCAGCGGACUGAAAAUCCGCGUGUCGGUGGUUCGAAUCCGCCUCUGGGCACCA